UACGUAGGGGGCUAGCGUUGUCCGGAAUCAUUGGGCGUAAAGAGCGUGUAGGCGGUCCGGUAAGUCCGUUGUGAAAGUCAAGGGCUCAACCCUUGAAUGCCGGCGGAUACUGUCGGGCUAGAGUCCGGAAGAGGAGAAUGGAAUUCCCGGUGUAGCGGUGAAAUGCGCAGAUAUCGGGAAGAACACCCGUGGCGAAGGCGGUUCUCUGGGACGGUACUGACGCUGAGACGCGAAAGCGUGGGGAGCGAACAGG
rnacentral:rRNA from 1 species